AAGCUACUGGGGGAGCCGAAGCUCCCCCCCAAGUAGGUGCGUGCUUUGUUCUUGUUAUGAUGCCGGGCUUGUUGUUUUUGUUUGUAGACCCGUCCUCGAGGCCAGUCGCUUCGAGGUAUUCCCAUUCGGGAUCGACAAGAGCAAACGGAUUGCUUUGGUCGCUGAGUGAGCAGUGAUCUUUCGAUCCAACCGAUUCCGCCGCUGCCUCGAGGCAGUU
rnacentral:misc_RNA from 1 species